ensembl:lncRNA
UGUGUUGAUAAUUUAUGACCCAUGUGUUUCCCUGACGGAUCUCUAGGUAGCCUUAAUUUAUGACCAGAGGUGGGGGUAAGCCUAUCGACAGUAUCAGGGGGUCAAUCUGGCUCCUUUGUGUCUGGGCAGUGGUGGAGAGGUGUGUGUGUGUGGGGGGGUGUCCCCCUCCCAACAAAUGGUGUUUAUGUUAAUGAGUUUGGUUUUUUGGGGUGAAAUACGUCUGAAAAGAAAUAUCAAUGUUUUAAUAUGGACAUGUUUGUGUUACUGUGUGGUUAUUUUGUUUUGUGUAAACACAUUGUUAGAAAAAGCAUGAUGUUUGAAUGUGUACAUAUAUGAGUAGAAUAUUUGUUUUAUGAAAUAAAUGAAAAAUGUUGAUUACUUUUUAGGGACCCCGGUUUGCCUUUCAAUAAAACGUUUAGGAGGUAAAGCGUUCAAAAUAAUAAUAGUAAUAAUAAAGAAUCUGUUUAAAAGAAUCGUGCGUAUUACAUACCUUCUAAACAUAAACAUUUAGGAGGUUAAAAAAAUAAAAAAAUUAAAAGAGUUGUUUAAAAAGAGAUCCGUAUUACAUGGCUUCCAAAAAACACAUAAACCUUUAGGAGGUAAAAAUGGUUUAAAAAGUUGUUUAAAAAGAAUAAUGCGUAUUACAUGACUUCUAAACAAAGAUCCUUACGAGGUAAAAAUGUUAAAGUGCUGGUUAAAAGAAUCUCCGUAAUGUUUUAAACUAGGAAUGAAGUUAAUGAUCACCUCUACUGGCACCCUGUCCAGGGUGUACCCCGCCUUGUGCCCGAUGCUCCCUGGGAUAGGCUCCAGGUUUCCCCAUGACCCUGAAAAGGAGUAAGCGGUUGAAGAUGGAUGGAUGGAUGGAUGAUCACCUCUCUCUCGCUAAACCACGCCCACACAUACUUGUUUUCAGACCUCUCUCUCUCUCUCUCUCUCUCUAAACCUCAAUCUGAGCCUAUUAUAAUCUAUGCUUUAAAAUAUAAUCUUUAAAAUACUUCAUUAAUGAUUUUUCUUAGGUGUUUAUUUCCAUCAGUCAUCCAUUAUAGGUACCAAAAAACGUACAGUUUAGUGUCCCACACAUUCUUCACCCCA